rnacentral:misc_RNA from 1 species
UAUAAUGUUCAUGUUUUUGAAUGUUUUAUUCAAAUAAUGUAAAAAAUAAAAUAGAUAUUGACAUGGAUUGAACAAAAGAUAUAUAUUAUUUUAUGUUGCAUAAACAAAUUGGCAAAAUAGAGAUGGAAGAUAAAAAUAUGGUCAAAGUAAUAAGAGUCUAUGGUGAAUGCCUAGGAGCUUUAAGGCGAAGAAGGUCGUGGUAAGCUGCGAAAAGCUUGGGGGAGAAGCAAACAUUUAUUGAUCCCAAGAUUACCGAAUGGAGUAAUCCAACUAGCAAGAUGCUAGUUAUCUAUUAUCUAAAUAAUAGAGGCGAUACCAGGGGAAGUGAACCAUCUAA